AAGAAAACGUUGAUGAGAAGAGUACUUUGUGGAAAGCUUCCAGAGAGGGAUACAUUUGCUGAAAGUAUCCUAAGCAGACAAACAAAGGAAGACCACCUCGGAGUGGCUGUAAACCAGCCCGGCUGACACCGUUAAUCGUCGAUUAAGUGAUCUGUUUCUGGAGUUUAUGAUCAAAGGAUAUGAAACAGAUAACCAGGGUGGAACCGCGAUAACUCGUCCCAUGG
rfam:Clostridiales bacterium 45_37 Ley3_66761_scaffold_4656, whole genome shotgun sequence.